GAGCAGUGGGGAAUAUUGCACAAUGGGGGAAACCCUGAUGCAGCCAUGCCGCGUGUGUGAAGAAGGCCUUCGGGUUGUAAAGCACUUUCAGCGAGGAGGAAAGGUUGGUAGGUAAUAACUGCCAGCUGUGACGUUACUCGCAGAAGAAGCACCGGCUAACUCCGUGCCAGCAGCCGCGGUAAUACGGAGGGUGCAAGCGUUCAUCGGAAUUACUGGGCGUAAAGCGCACGCAGGCGGUUGGAUAAGUUAGAUGUGAAAGCCCCGGGCUCAACCUGGGAAUUGCAUUUAAAACUGUCCAGCUAGAGUCUUGUAGAGGGGGGUAGAAUUCCAGGUGUAGCGGUGAAAUGCGUAGAGAUCUGGAGGAAUACCGGUGGCGAAGGCGGCCCCCUGGACAAAGACUGACGCUCAGGUGCGAAAGCGUGGGGAGCAAACAGGAUUAGAUACCCUGGUAGUCCACGCCGUAAACGAUGUCGAUUUGGAGGCUGUGUCCUGAGACGUGGCUUCCGGAGCUAACGCGUAAAUCGACCG
rnacentral:rRNA from 1 species